GCACCGCUGGUGUACCUGUUAUCGUGCCAACGGUAAACGCAGGGUAGCCAUGUGCGGAGCGGAUAACCGCUGAAAGCAUCUAAGUGGGAAGCCCACCUCCAGAUGAUUGCUCUCAUGGCAUUAAGCCAGUAAGGUCUCGGGUAGACUACCCGUUGAUAGGCUCUAGAUGGAAGCUCGGUAACGAGUGCAGUCGAGGAGUACUAACCGACCGAGGGCUUGACCUG
rnacentral:rRNA from 1 species